GGAGGCGGCUGAGCGCUCGACCGGGACCAAGCGCGUCGUGAUCAAGGGCAAGGCAGUCUCGGAGUGUGGCGACGCCCGAAAGCUCGCGAUCUGGAACACCGGUCCCGGCAUGACCGCGAGCGACCUGCUCCACAUCUGCGAUUUGGCGGCCUCGAUCGGCAAGGACAUGGGGCUAAGCGGCAAUUUCGGAAUGGGUGCAAAGGUCGCGUCGCUGCCGUCGAACCCCCUGGGAAUGCGGUACCGCUCCUGUCGUGACGGCGUCGUCAGUCAGGUGAUCCUCGGCAAGCGAAACGGACGGUACGGCCGCGUGUGGGUCCCUGUGCUCGAUGAGGAGACUGGCGAGGAGCGAUCCGAGGAGGUCGUGGACAUGACCGACGCCGUCCGCGAGGAGGCUGA
rnacentral:misc_RNA from 1 species